GGAAAGUGUUAGCUUACAAAUUACUUUUCUUCCUUGUCUGGUAAUGGAAGUCAGGAAAAUUCUGAUUUGAACUAGUAUGUUCAAACUAUUACUGCAAUGAACCAGUAAUUAUGAAACAACAGAGCACGACUUUGGUCUUGCCCAAAAUAACAUCUCUUGUCACAUACUUUCUUUUUGCUGGACUAUUGUUAUCUAUUUUAGGAAAAACAGAAAACAAAUGGAUUGCAGAAUGGAGAUGGUUUGACUGAUGAUAUUAUUAGUCUUGAAGAUCUAAAUAAAAAUAACCAAGAGAAUCAAGACUCUUCUGAAACACUAUCAGACAUGGAGCUGUGUCAAGAUGUGAUAGAGGAGAACAUCAUAACCUGUACUGGCUGUCUGGAUGCUGCAUUUCAUCAGUCAUGACUGACUGACUGUCUUAAAUUCUGCAUGAACAAACAGGUAAUCAGUCAUCUUGUGAAUGUUUCACUCUUUUAUCAUAUUUGACCAAAUACCUAAAGAAUUGUUAGAAUUUUUAAGGUGCAUUUAAU
rnacentral:lncRNA from 12 species